rnacentral:rRNA from 1 species
AUGUACAUUCAUACAAUGUUAAUGCGCUGGAUCCUAUCAUAUCUUCGCAGUUAAGUGUGUUUGGGAUAGAGUAGUACCGGGAUGGGUGACCUCCCGGGAAGUCCUAAUGUUUUACAUU